rnacentral:rRNA from 1 species
ACUCCUACGGGAGGCAGCAGUGAGGAAUAUUGGUCAAUGGACGCGAGUCUGAACCAGCCAAGUAGCGUGAAGGAUGACUGCCCUAUGGGUUGUAAACUUCUUUUAUAUGGGAAUAAAGUUGUCCACGUGUGGAUUUUUGUAUGUACCAUAUGAAUAAGGAUCGGCUAA